rnacentral:rRNA from 1 species
AUGGUGAGUGGAGCAAAGAUACCUGGCCAUCCAUGCAUGAUGGUCACUACAGCAGGACAGUUUGUGAUGGUGCCCAUGGUGGCUUACAGUGCGCAGACCAUGAUGUGUAGUUCUUUGGAUGGAAACAAGACAGAUCGGCUGUCGCUACUUGAAUUCAAGAAGACGGUCAGUAUUGACCCACAUCAAGCCUUGAUGUCGUGGAACGAUAGCACCCACUUCUGCCACUGGGAAGGUGUCUCAUGUGGGACGACGACCACCCCGCCUCGUGUUAUUUCACUCAAUCUUACAAACCGAGGUUUAGCAGGACAAAUAUCUCCCUCUCUUGGAAAUCUUACAUUCCUACAAUCUCUGUUCCUACCAAAUAAUUCAUUUUCGGGAGAAAUCCCUCCAUCCCUUGGUCAUAUGCAUAACCUCCACACCAUCUGCUUGAGUAGUAACAGAUUGCAAGGAAGGAUACCUAAUCUUGCCAACUGUACCAGCCUAAUGGUGCUUUGGUUGACUAGGAAUAAUCUAGCUGGUCAAUUUCCUGAUUUACCUAGUCAUCUGCAAGAGCUGCACCUCUCCCACAAUGAUCUCAUUGGAGCCAUCCCUUCCUCUCUCGGCAAUAUCACAACACUGAGAAAGCUCAUUUUCUCGUUUAAUAACAUUGAGGGAAAUCUCCCAAGUGACUUGGCAGAGCUGCACAAGCUGCAGUUCCUCCAUGGGGGUGCCAAUAAGUUGACAGGUACGUUCCCACAUGCCAUCUUAAAUAUUCCUGCUCUCAAUGGCAAUAAGUUGACAGGUACGUUCCCACAUGCCAUCUUAAAUAUUCCUGCUCUCAAUGGUCUAAGCCUUGCUGCCCUAUUCAUUGGUAAAUGCUUCCAAGCUAUACACCAUCGAUGUAUCAAGAAAUAA